UACGAAGGGGGCUAGCGUUGCUCGGAUUUACUGGGCGUAAAGGGCGCGUAGGCGGACAGUUAAGUUGGGGGUGAAAGCCCGGGGCUCAACCUCGGAAUUGCCUUCAAUACUGGCUGUCUUGAGUACGGGAGAGGUGUGUGGAACUCCGAGUGUAGAGGUGAAAUUCGUAGAUAUUGGGAAGAACACCAGUGGCGAAGGCGGCUCACUGGCCCGUAACUGACGCUGAGGUGCGAAAGCGUGGGGAGCAAACAGG
rnacentral:rRNA from 1 species